ACCAUAUUUCGCGUCCUUAAGAAACACCAUCUCCGGAUGAAGCAGAUCUACAGAGUCCCAUUUGAAAGGAAUUCCCAAAGAGUGAAGGAUAAAUGGACUGAACCCGUUGUCCUUUGACCUGUCCUCCAACAACGAACCCGUGCAGUUCAGCAACUCAAACGUGCCGCUGGUGUCAGACUGUCCCCUGGAGAACGGAGCUGAGAAGAGCAUUAAGAGGAAGAGACCCAGCCUGCUUCCAGAAGGGAUUCGUAACAUAUCCAUGGACAUGUCCAACCCCAUGUCAGACCCCAACGCCUGGGCCACCGCCAUGAACAACCUUGGCAUGGCUCCCAUGAACAUGACAGGACAGCCCCUUAUGUCAGAUUUUGACCAAGGCCUUGGCAUGAUGACAGGCAUCGGUCCCAUGAACCCCAUGAUGCCCGGCCUCGGCAUGGUGCCCCCACCCCCCCUCCCCCUUGAUCUGCCCAUCGUCAAGGAAAUCAUUCACUGC